rnacentral:rRNA from 1 species
UCUUUAAAUGUGGACUAGUAUGAACGGCACCACGAAGGUUAUACUGUCUCCCCUUUCUAAUCAGUGAAACUAAUCUCCCCGUGAAGAAGCGGGGAUAAUUCUAUAAGACGAGAAGACCCUAUGGAGCUUUAAACAACACAGCACUUACUAAAUAUCCUUUAAUGUUCCUGUAACUUUAACUCUUUAAAGUAAGAUGACUGCAAGUUUUCGGUUGGGGUGACCACGGAGUAAAUCAUAACCUCCAUGUUGAAAGAACUUUUCUAAGCCAAGAAUAACCAAUCUAAGCAUUAACAAAUUAACAUCUAUUGACCCAAUAAAUUUGAUCAACGAACCAAGUUACCCUAGGGAUAACAGCGCAAUCCACUUCAAGAGCUCCUAUCGACAAGUGGGUUUACGACCUCGAUGUUGGAUCAGGGUAUCCCAGUGGUGCAGCCGCUACUAAAGGUUCGUUUGUUCAACGAUUAAAACCCUACGUGA